rnacentral:rRNA from 1 species
CCAGACUCCUACGGGAGGCAGCAGUGGGGAAUCUUCCGCAAUGGGCGCAAGCCUGACGGAGCAACGCCGCGUGAGUGAAGAAGGUCUUCGGAUCGUAAAGCUCUGUUGAUGGGGACGAACGUGCCGAAUGCGAAUAGUUUUAGGCAAUGACGGUACCCAUCGAGGAAGCCACGGCUAACUACGUGCCAGCAGCCGCGGUAAUACGUAGGUGGCGAGCGUUGUCCGGAAUCAUUGGGCGUAAAGGGAGCGCAGGCGGGCAUGUAAGUCUUUCUUAAAAGUGCGGGGCUCAACCCCGUGAUGGGAAAGAAACUAUGUGUCUUGAGUACAGGAGAGGAAAGCGGAAUUCCCAGUGUAGCGGUGAAAUGCGUAGAUAUUGGGAGGAACACCAGUGGCGAAGGCGGCUUUCUGGACUGCAACUGACGCUGAGGCUCGAAAGCCAGGGGAGCGAACGGGAUUAGAUACCCCGGUAGUCCUGGCCGUAAACGAUGGAUACUAGGUGUGGGAGGUAUCGACCCCUACCGUGCCGGAGUUAACGCAAUAAGUAUCCCGCCUGGGGAGUACGGCCGCAAGGCUGAAACUCAAAGGAAUUGACGGGGGCCCGCACAAG